AUAUAUACAAAGUUGAUAUAGAACGGUUACAUUUCAAGAAUAAGAAGAAAUAUCAAAGUAAAAACCGUAUCCACAUGCAAUCCUCGUGAUUCUGAAUUCUCUUCCUCUCUCUCUACGCUGGAGGCCGUGCAGUUUUACAUUUUCCGUUCAGGAAAUCGAAAAUGAGCAACGAAGAAUACAAAACGUCGCCGUACAGGCGUUACCAGAAUGAUCCUGAAGCUGGUGCCAGUCGCCCCGACUUCUAUGAAGAUGAUGAAGCGGGUUCUGGAACGUUUGAUAUACCUAGAACCAAAAGUGCUUCACUCGAACGGUUGCGUAGGUGGAGGCAAGCUGCACUUGUGUUGAAUGCUUCUCGUCGAUUUCGGUAUACUCUGGACUUGAAAAAGGAAGAAGAACGGAAGCAAUCGCUUGCUAAAUUUAGAUCGCAUAUUCAAGUUCUUCGGGCCGCUAAUCGCUUCCAAAAUAAUGUGAAAGAAAAUGUACCAAAAGCUCCAGGGCCGUUACCUCAUUCAACUACCACCCGUGUUGGCAAUUUCGAUAUCAGCUUGGAGGAGCUAGUUUCAAUGACCAGGGAAAAUGAUCUUUCUCUUCUGCAGCAAUGUGGAGGGGUUAAAGGAGUGGCAGAUAAAUUAAAAUCGGACUUGGAGAAAGGUAUACCUGGAGACGAUAUUGACCUCGUAAGCAGAAAGAAUGCUUAUGGAUCGAACACGUAUCCAAGGAAGAAAGGUCGAAGUUUUUGGAACUUUGUCUGGGAUGCUUGUAAAGACACAACUCUCAUUAUCUUGAUGGUUGCUGCAGCUGCUUCUUUAGCAUUAGGCAUAAAGACUGAGGGAAUAAAAGAAGGAUGGUAUGAUGGAGGAAGCAUUGCCAUGGCAGUCCUUAUUGUUAUUAUAUUUACAGCUGUUAGUGAUUACAAACAAUCCCUACAGUUCCAAAAUUUAAAUGAAGAGAAGCAAAAUAUACACAUGGAGGUCAUUCGAGGUGGGAGGAGAGUUAGUAUCUCAAUAUUUGACAUAGCUGUUGGGGAUGUUGUGCCUCUAAAAAUUGGUGAUCAGGUACCUGCUGAUGGAAUUGUAAUAACUGGUCAUUCUCUUUCAAUUGAUGAAUCAAGUAUGACAGGGGAGAGCAAAAUUGUACACAAGAAUUCAAAAGCACCAUUUCUGAUGUCUGGAUGCAAGGUUGCUGACGGUUAUGGCACCAUGCUGGUAACAGGUGUGGGAAUAAAUACCGAAUGGGGACUGCUUAUGUCAAGCAUAUCGGAGGAUAAUGGUGAAGAAACACCAUUACAGGUACGUUUAAAUGGGGUUGCCACUUUUAUUGGGAUUGUUGGCCUGGCGGUAGCUGUAGUCGUUCUGAUUGUUCUUGUGGCCAGAUUUUUUACCGGGCAUACCAGAAAUCCAGAUGGGACUGUCCAAUUUAAAGCAGGCCAGACUAAAGUUGGUGAAGCGAUAGAUGGGUUCAUAAAAAUAUUCACUGUUGCAGUGACCAUUGUAGUUGUUGCAGUACCGGAGGGGCUUCCUUUGGCUGUUACCCUGACGCUUGCAUACUCUAUGAGAAAAAUGAUGGCAGACAAGGCCUUGGUGCGGCGGUUAUCCGCCUGUGAAACCAUGGGGUCUGCAACUACCAUUUGCAGCGAUAAAACCGGGACUCUAACUCUCAAUCAGAUGACCGUGGUCGAGGCAUAUUCUUGUGGAAACAAAAUUGAUCCCCCAGAUAAUAAGUCCCUGCUUCCUUCUAAUAUCAUGUCUCUACUUAUUGAAGGCAUUGCACAGAACACGACUGGCAGUGUAUUUGUUCCUGAGGAAGGUGGAGUUCUGGAGGUUUCUGGUUCACCAACAGAAAAGGCCAUUCUUCAGUGGGGAAUUAAUCUUGGGAUGGAUUUCAAAGCUGCAAGAUCAAAUUCAGUGAUAAUUCAUGCCUUUCCAUUCAACUCAGAGAAAAAGCGAGGUGGUGUCGCUCUGAAACUGUCGGAUUCUGAAGUUCAUGUGCACUGGAAAGGGGCUGCAGAAAUAGUCCUUGCAUCUUGUACAAGUUACAUUGACACAAAUAAUCAUGUGGCACCAAUGGAUGAAGAUAAGUCAUUGCUUUUUAAGAAAGCAAUUGAAGAUAUGGCUGCCAGAAGCUUGCGGUGUGUUGCUAUUGCCUACAGGCCAUAUGAAAUGGCGAAGGUUCCAAGUGAUGAAGAGGAAUUGUCGAGUUGGAAGUUACCAGAGGGAGACCUUAUUUUACUGGCUAUUGUCGGUAUCAAGGAUCCUUGUCGUCCUGGCGUGAGAGAGGCAGUUCAAUUAUGUAUUAAUGCUGGUGUUAAGGUUCGGAUGGUCACUGGUGACAAUCUUCAAACAGCUAGGGCAAUAGCUUUGGAGUGUGGGAUAUUAGGAUCCAAUGCAGAUGCUACUGAGCCUAAUCUUAUUGAAGGAAAGAAAUUCCGUGAUUUGUCCGACACACAGAGACUAGAAGUGGCUGACAAAAUUUCUGUAAUGGGCAGGUCAGCUCCAAAUGAUAAACUCUUGCUUGUGCAAGCACUGAGGAAGAGGGGACACGUAGUUGCUGUUACUGGAGAUGGAACUAAUGAUGCUCCAGCACUACAUGAGGCAGAUAUAGGUCUUGCAAUGGGUAUCCAAGGCACUGAAGUUGCUAAAGAGAGCUCAGAUAUUAUCAUACUGGAUGAUAAUUUUUCCACGGUGGUAAAGGUCGUGAGGUGGGGAAGAUCUGUGUACGCAAAUAUACAGAAAUUUAUUCAAUUUCAGCUCACAGUUAAUGUUGCUGCCCUGAUAAUCAAUGUAGUGUCUGCGGUUUCUUCUGGUAAUGUCCCACUAAACGCUGUGCAGCUUCUGUGGGUAAAUCUUAUCAUGGAUACACUAGGAGCUCUUGCACUUGCAACGGAACCUCCCACUGAUCAUCUCAUGCGUAGAACUCCCGUGGGUAGAAGGGAACCUCUCAUAACAAAUAUCAUGUGGAGGAACUUGAUCAUACAGGCUCUAUAUCAAGUGACGGUUCUCCUCAUCCUCAAUUUUGGCGGAACAAAAAUCUUGAAUUUAGAGCAUGACACGAGUGACCAUGCAUUCAGGGAGAAGAAUACGCUGAUUUUUAAUGCAUUCGUUUUCUGCCAGAUAUUUAAUGAAUUUAAUGCUAGAAAGCCUGAUGAGAUUAAUGUGUGGAAGGGAGUAACCAAAAAUCGUCUUUUCAUGGGUAUUGUUGGCCUAACCCUUCUGCUCCAGGUGAUAAUAAUUAUGUUUCUUGGGAAGUUCGCUUCUACUGUUCGACUCAGUUGGAAGUUGUGGCUCGUUUCCAUAGCCAUUGGUGCUAUCAGCUGGCCACUUGCAGUCAUCGGAAAACUGAUUCCCGUACCCAAUAGGCCUUUUAGCGAAUUCUGUACAAAGAGAUCGCAUCAAUAAAGAGGUUGACUCUACCGCAUGGUUUUCUUCGCCAAAGUGAUCGACAUAGUGUGCUAACAUUUUCAUAGAUAGAAUAUGAAGUUUUUGGGAGUGCUGAAAUAUUGUGCUAUUGAAAACGUCGUAGCUUCUUGAUAUGGCAACAAGAAUAAGGGAAAUGGCUGUCUUAGCUAUGUAUGGAGAAUCAUGAUCAUUUGCAGAUGCGGAAUCUCUUUCGGCCAGAACAAGUAUUUGUGCUUUCCCGUAGACAAUUUUAAUCCUCGCUACACAGAAUUGGGGCUUAAUCAUGCAAAAGUAGCUUUGACAAUGACAUAUUCUUUAGAUUCUAUUUUACCUUCAAUCCAAAUUCUGAGCAAUAAUAAUGUAUUAACGUAUUUGAGGUUAAAAUCUUUGGAUGGGACUGUAUCGAGUUAUCCUAUUGUGAUUGAUGUUAUUACUACAAAUUCAUGUAAGUCGAGAUAUACAUUACAAUGCCAAGAGUCAUUGACUACUUUCGUUGA